GCUGGUGUCAGUGGCGCAGGUUUGAAAUCCAGAGGAGCAGAAAGGACAGAAGAAGUUUAGAGUCCGUGAAACUUCUCUGAGUUUCCUGAAGUCUGGAUUCAAACUCAGCUCCUGUGUGGCGUCAGGGGACGAUAACGUUUUCAGAUGAGUUCGUUCAGUACGAGGGCCCUGACGCUGCUCUCGUCCGUUUUCGGGGCCUGCGGCCUGCUGCUGGUGGGCGUCGCCGUGUCGACGGACUACUGGCUGCUGAUGGAGGAGGGAAUCAUCCUGCAGCAGAACCAGACCACCGAGGUCAAGAUGGCGCUGCACUCCGGCCUGUGGAGGGUCUGCUUCGUG